GUAGUCCACGCUGUAAACGAUGGAUACUUGAUGUUAGAGGUAUUGACCCCUCUAGUGUCGAAGCUAACGCGUUAAGUAUCCCGCCUGGGGAGUACGGUCGCAAGAUUAAAACUCAAAGAAAUUGACGGGGGCCCGCACAAGCGGUGGAGAAUGUGGUUUAAUUCGAUGCAACGCGAAAAACCUUACCUGGGUUUGGAAUCCCACGAAUACUGUAGAGAUACAGUAGUGUCGUAAGACACGUGGAGACAGGUGCUGCAUGGCUGUCGUCAGCUCGUGUCGUGAGAUGUUGGGUUAAGUCCCGCAACGAGCGCAACCCUUAUCUUUAGUUGCCAGCAUUAAGUUGGGCACUCUAGAGAGACUGCCAACGUUAAGUUGGA
rnacentral:rRNA from 1 species